ACAACUGGCUACAAAUAUCAACAGGCUUUAACAGUCUUCUUUCCUUCAAGUCCAGUUCUUUGAAAGUCCAAAUUUGCUCUGAACUGACUUCAAGCAAGUGCCCACUCUUGAACAAAUUACUGAGGCUGGAGGAUAAAGACACAAAUUGGCCAAACUUGGAUUACCUGCCUUCUGCAUCUUAAAGGAGUCAGUCCCAACUACAAAUUUAAGAGGAUCACAGAAACACCCACAAACUUACGAGGAUCACAGAAAACACCCCUACACCAACUUAUAGCCAAUCUAUUCAACCUGCAUUGUUAGCAGGAGGAGAUUUUUCAGCUUUUGAAGUCUGCAUACCUUCAAGGAAAUUCUUCAAAAACAGCCAAGACAUUUUAAGAUGAGGAGCUACAGAACAGCUGAAAUGUGGAUGUGAUAGAAGAAGAUGAACUAUUUCUGAAUUCAAGAUGGACUCUGAAUUGAGAAGAUAGAUGCCUUGGACCUUAACACUAUUGAGCUAUCAACUAAACUGCAGACCACUUACCUUCAUAUUUGUGAGAUGAAAAUAACUGUCUAUUUUUAGAGGAGCCCAACCUGUGUCCUAACUAGUAUAGCUAGGCAUAGAGAUACUAAAGAAUUGCUAUAACUAGAUAACCAUAAUGGAAAUAAUAAUGCCAGAAAAGGUGGCAUUUAAUGUUGCAAGGACAAAAAAAUGGCUAAGAUAGAUCAUUGUGUAAUGAUAAGAAGCAAAAUUCAACAUGAUGGCCUAAAAGUCAUGAACUAUGUAUUUCAAACAAUAUAGCACCUAACUACCUAAGGAAACGCUGUUAAAAAUAUAAAAUUUUUAAAAAGAAUUGUGAAUUUAUAACAGAAGACUUUCA
rnacentral:lncRNA from 1 species